rnacentral:rRNA from 1 species
AGGACGAACGCUGGCGGCGUGCUUAACACAUGCAAGUCGAGCGGUAAGGCCUUUCGGGGUACACGAGCGGCGAACGGGUGAGUAACACGUGGGUGAUCUGCCCUGCACUCUGGGAUAAGCCUGGGAAACUGGGUCUAAUACCGGAUAUGACCUGCUCUCGCAUGGGGGUGGGUGGAAAGAUUUAUCGGUGCAGGAUGGGCCCGCGGCCUAUCAGCUUGUUGGUGGGGUAAUGGCCUACCAAGGCGACGACGGGUGGCCGACCUGAGAGGGUGACCGGCCACACUGGGACUGAGACACGGCCCAGACUCCUACGGGAGGCAGCAGUGGGAAUAUUGCACAAUGGGCGAAAGCCUGAUGCAGCGACGCCGCGUGAGGAUGAAGGCCUUCGGGUUGUAAACCUCUUUCAGCAGGGACGAAGCGCAAGUGACGGUACCUGCAGAAGAAGCACCGGCUAACUACGUGCCAGCCAGCCGC